CUGUGCUGGUUCGAUUGGGAUACUCAUCAAUUUAAUUCAGAAUCACCGAGAAGGCUCUUCAUCCAAUGGCGUGCCGAUGCUGCGCUUUCAAUGCAGCGUGGAAGUCGGAUUACAAAGGAUGUCUGGGCGCUCAAAUCCUUACUACUCGGAGUUUCAUCAUCAUCACCGGCACAGCCAUUU
rnacentral:sRNA from 1 species